GUCAGGAAGAGGAAGAACAGAGGGCCUUAGAGUAGUGGGAAUGGGAACAUGGAGGAAAUCCUAACUUGGUUUUGAUCUCUUAUGUCAGAGGUGAUAACCUAGUUUGGUGUUUCCCGAUGCCUCCCAUUCCUAUUGUUCUAAAGCACUCCUUCCUCUUCAUUUUGUGG
rfam:Triticum aestivum genome assembly, contig: Triticum_aestivum_CS42_TGACv1_scaffold_049762_1BS